GGUAAUCAUCUUUGGGACAAGCCUUGUUCAAAGACGUGAAGUCUAUACACAUCCUCCAAUCUUUGUUCUUCUUCGGGACCAUUACAAUGUUAGAUAGCCAAGUGGUGUACAAUACUUCACGUAUCACCCCAGCGUCCAACAACUUUUGGACUUCGCACUGUGGUGCUACAGUCUUUUCAGGAGACAAGACCCUCAAUUUUUGCCUUCGCGGUGGUAUUUCUGGGUCUGUUUCCAACUUGUGCUCAAUGACACUUCGUGGCACCCCCUACAAGUCUUUCUUGCUCCAUCCCGAACGUAUCCAUUUCCUCACGUACCAGUUCUAUUUUAUAGGGCCAUGAUUUUUACACUUUACAACCUGACACCCCCCUUAUAACUUUAUUCGAAGCAUAUUUCGGGGUCAUUACGAUAACAUUACACCACUUUUGACACACACUUUACAACUCAUCACUUUACAGCUAAGCCCGAAGUGGCCCAUCGCGGUGAAGUCCUCCCGGCUCAUUUUGGCAUCUUUCCGCCUCAAAGUACUUCGCCUCCUCGCCGGCAGUUG
rnacentral:lncRNA from 1 species